rnacentral:rRNA from 1 species
UACGGGGGGGGCAAGCGUUGUUCGGAAUUACUGGGCGUAAAGGGCUCGUAGGUGGCCAACUAAGUCAGACGUGAAAUCCCUCGGCUUAACCGGGGAACUGCGUCUGAUACUGGAUGGCUUGAGUUUGGGAGAGGGACGCGGAAUUCCAGGUGUAGCGGUGAAAUGCGUAGAUAUCUGGAGGAACACCGGCGGCGAAGGCGGCGUCCUGGACCAACACUGACACUGAUGAGCGAAAGCCAGGGGAGCAAACGGG